rnacentral:rRNA from 1 species
UACGUAGGGGCCGAGCGUUGUCCGGAGUUACUGGGCGUAAAGCGCGCGCAGGCGGCUCGUCAAGCCUGACGUGAAAGCCCCCGGCUCAACCGGGGAGGGUCGUCGGGGACUGGCGGGCUUGAGGUCGGCAGGGGUUGGUGGAAUUCCCGGUGUAGUGGUGAAAUGCGUAGAGAUCGGGAGGAACACCCGUGGCGAAGGCGGCCAACUGGGCCGGACCUGACGCUGAGGCGCGAAGGCGUGGGGAGCGAUCCGG